CGUGGCGUAGUUGAUAACGUGCCAGUCUAUCGAAUUGGAAAUUGUGAGUUCGAUUCUCACCG
rnacentral:tRNA from 1 species